GCCAGGCAUGGUGGCGCAUGCCUGUAGUUCCAGCUAUUCAGGAGGCUGAGGUGGGAGGAUCACUUGAGCCCAGGAGUUCGAGGCUGCAGUGAGCCAUGAUCACACCACUGCACUCCAGCCUGGGUGAAAGAGUGAGACCCUGUCUCAA
rnacentral:SRP_RNA from 1 species